GCUGGGUGCAGUGGCAUAUGCCUGUAAUCCCAGUGCUUGGGAGGCUGAGAUAGGUGGAUCCAUCACAAGUUCAAAGCCAGCCUCAGCAACAGUGAGGCACUAAACAACUGGGUGAGACCCUGUCUCUA
rnacentral:sRNA from 1 species